rnacentral:rRNA from 1 species
UACGAAGGGGGCUAGCGUUGUUCGGAAUCACUGGGCGUAAAGGGCGCGUAGGCGGCCUGAUAAGUCGGGGGUGAAAGCCUGUGGCUCAACCACAGAAUUGCCUUCGAUACUGUCGGGCUUGAGACCGGAAGAGGUAAGUGGAACUGCGAGUGUAGAGGUGAAAUUCGUAGAUAUUCGCAAGAACACCAGUGGCGAAGGCGGCUUACUGGUCCGGUUCUGACGCUGAGGCGCGAAAGCGUGGGGAGCAAACAGG